UACGAAGGGGGCUAGCGUUGCUCGGAAUCACUGGGCGUAAAGCGCACGUAGGCGGCUUUUAAGUCAGAGGUGAAAUCCUGGAGCUCAACUCCAGAACUGCCUUUGAUACUGGAGUGCUUGAGUCCGGGAGAGGUGAGUGGAACUGCGAGUGUAGAGGUGAAAUUCGUAGAUAUUCGCAAGAACACCAGUGGCGAAGGCGGCUCACUGGCCCGGUACUGACGCUGAGGUGCGAAAGCGUGGGGAGCAAACAGG
rnacentral:rRNA from 1 species